UUCUCUUCUAGCCCUACUAUUCUAUAAUUAGGACUAUUGGUCGUUUUCUUCUUUUUUCCUUGAAAAUAGACAAUGUGUUCAUUAGUGCAUUUUCUGCUGCAAUUGUCUUCUGCUACCUGUCUUCAUGAAGUUAAGAAAGUAAGUGCGAAACCUUAUUGAAGUGACAUGUGGUUGAUGAAGUCAUAUAUUUCCUGUGAAGUUGGUUGUCUUUACGUUCCUGUAAUCAGCGCUUUCUAGUGUAUCUGUUUGACUGAAGAAAUUUAUCCUACAAAGUUCUAAUUGCUGGUUUAUAUAUUCUCUUAUCAUAAGAUUCCGAUCCAGUGAUGAUCUUUAUAUUACUUUGCAUGUAACUGAAUUGAGAUGGCCUAUUUGAUGAGAAAGAGAUAUAUGCCUUAGCUGGUCUAAUGCAGGAAAUUAGUUAGAGCCAACCAUUAAAAGUUUCACUGAUGAUGUAAACUGAUCUGUGGGAGUGAUCUUUCUUUCAUGCUGUAUCAUUUUCCUGAGGGAGUUGUGACGAAGUUCUCCUAUCUCUUGCAGUGUGAGAUAAAGAGUUUUGACUCUAGCGUAGAACAUCAAUAAGUUCUGGAAAGUAAUUUGUGUGUCCAAUGUGAUACUUGAAGGCUCAAAGGUAGUGAAAAAUAAUAGGGGGAAAACUAGUAGGGGCUCCAUUGGCAUUAUACCAGGGCACGUUGAUGUGAGGAUCUCUAGAGGAAUAAAAUAAAAGUAUGAUUAUACUGAAAGAAGAAAAUGAUGCAUAUAUAUGUGUACUGGUCAACUAGAGAGUUUGUUAAAUUGAAAUUUUGGCUAUUAGUUGACUUGGUGCUCUCUUCUUCUUUCUAGAUAUCUCUGUCCCUAUAGUCAAGAAAACUCGGAAUGGAAAAUAUCAUGAGCUGUCCCUUUUGUCUAACUCUGGUAAAAAGUUAAUAAAUGUUGUUGCACUUAGGGGUAAAUGUAGUGGGAAAAUGAAAUAUGUAAUCUAGAAGUUUGAGAAUAUGGCCAGAUUUGAAGAGGUCAUGGAAUCACGUAGGACAUUGCUGCUUAGAAAAAGGCACUCCUGUUUUCCUCUUUAAAGCCAUCUAAUCUUAACAUUAAAGUACAAGAGUGGGUAAAAAUACAGUUUUGUGGUUGAGUCGCAUGUUGCACCACCACAAAAGUCCUUGUGGUAAACCGAAAAAGGUAAUAAAUAGAUUAUAAUACCAUCCCACCAACUCUACUAGUGACGGUAUCCAAGAAAUUUUAACAUUUAGCUGUGUUGUUUGGUACACAAAUCCAAUCUUUGGAAAUUUUAAUUGUUUACUAAUGAAACUGAAGUCUCUUAGAGAGGCACCAACGAGGUGCCAACUCUUAUAAACUAUUGACUAUCGUCACAAGCUACUGUACAAUUUAAACUCCCCUAAAGACAAUUCGAUCUGAAGAGACUGUAAAGAUAACAAAGUAAAUAAUAACCUUUUAGUGAAAGAUAAUGUCAUUGUCACAAUUCUUCACAUAUCACAAAAUCUAUAUUAUCUUGCAAUGGAUUAGAAAAGUUCUAUAGAGAGAAUUGUAGCUUGAACCAGGCAAAAUAAUAUGUAAAUCCCAAAGCAUCAGUACCUUGCAUGUUAAUUAUCAGAAUGCUUCCAACUUAAUUCAUUAAACCUAGCAAAGGUAGUAGCUGCUUUAAUUUUUUUUUUUCAAUUUUUGUACAUGUUAGAAAAUCCAAACCAAAGUUUAAACUGUUAAGUGGAGGAAGAAGAGAUAAUGUAUAUAAACCCUUGAACAAGUGAUGUGGGAAACUUUAACAUCCCCUCUCACAUGCAAACAGGGCUGAGAAUGACAUGUAGAUUUGAUGAAUGGGGAGCCUCACACCCAAAAUAAACUGUGUCGGAACUUAACUUUGAUGUCAUGUUAGAAUGUUCAAUAAAAAGCUUACGCCUUAGGUGGAGGGAGACAACAUGUGCAUAAGGCCUAUAACAUAUAAGCGAUGUAUGAUAGUUGGACAGCAUAGAUGGGCAUGUAGUGGCCCCCGUCUAUGUUAUCGAUUAGUCUUUGAAUUUGGACCACUGCAUCAAUUUUUUUUUGUAAAAAUGGAAAUUAUAGCCACUAAUUGCUCAAUUAUAACCUUUGCUUCGUCUAUUCUUUUACUUCUUUGUUAUUUACAUCCUUAAAAUUUCUUUUAGGAUGUGUAAAGACAUUGAUCAUUCAUAUAGUAAAUGAAAGAUAGUCUAGUUCCUCCAUAAAGCUCAUACCAAGUACCUUUUGUCGGUCUUCUUUGAAUAAUUAAUUUACAUGACACGAGUUCCAUACAAGUCAAAAAAACCACAUCUAUAUAUUGAAAAGAAUUUCCUUUUUGAAGCGAUACACAUUAACAUAAAGGAAAUGAUGAACCCGAGUUUGUCUUCGUAAAAACCAUGAAGCAUUUCGAUGAAACACUGGCAGAUUAACUUCUAACACCUAAAAUCAACAAUUUCAUUUUAGCAAUAAGAUAAGACCGAUGAAAAUCUAGUCUUCGACUUUUACCUUGCUUUUACUCAAA